GCACGGCGCAUGGAAGCUAACAUGGCGCGAGCUCGUCCCUCCGCGCACGGUCCGCUUUCCUGAAGGACGCAACCCGGAUGCUUGCAGCUGGUCACCACGACCCCGACCCCGACUCCCGGCCGCUGCCUCCGCGGGUCUGCGCUGGCUGCCAUAGCAAGCUGGAGGACGCGCCCUGCCGCGCAGGAAGUGACCCGCUCGCCGCCCCGCCCCGCGGCCGCAACCAGUCUUUCCCUGCGCUGGCGCGGAAAUCAAAGCUGGAGAACUUCGGUGUCUCGGGUUGGCCGUGGUGCGUAAUACCCCAAGGAGGGCAUUCAGCUUUCCUAAUGGCGGUUUUCCUUCCCAAGGGCAGCGCUUCCCAAGUUUCGCUUUAGGAGUAAGAUGGUAUAUCACUGUGG